GUCUAUGGCCAUGCUACCCUGAAGGCGCCAUAUCUCAUCUGAUUUCAGAAGCUAAGCAGGGUCGGGCCUGCUUAGUACUGGGAAGGGAGACCACCUAGGAAUACAAUGUGCUAUCGGUA
rnacentral:rRNA from 1 species